GCCUCUCCGGUUGUGGGUCAUCAGCCGGGCCUCGGCAGGAGCCGAGGUGACAUCGUCGGGAGACGCUGGAGCGGAGGGCCACGGGCAGUACCGACCAGAGAAGGGAUGGGAGGGGGGUCCCGCUGCUCGAAGCAGACCCACGGCGUGACAUCGCAUAAUGGAUCGGAUUUGCGCUGGCAGGAGGAAGCUGCGAAUGCCUUGAAAUCCCCGCGGCGGCUCCUACCCGGGUACCGGCGGUCGGGGCUGUGCCCGGGCAGCCGCCGCCGUUACAGCUUUGUCCUUCGAACCAACCCACAGCUCGCUGAGUCCGGAAAGAAAAAAAAAAAAAAAAGAAAAAAAGAAAAAAACUCCUUUUAAAAACGAUUUUGUCCAUCUACUGACACCGCUGCUGCACCGUGGCUACGGGAUUCCCAUGUCGAGCCGUUGUUGCGUUUACUAAACGUGAAAUUCCCCUCAUUUAGUUUUUCUGUCCCUAAAAGAGUUGUACCGCGUCGUGUUCCCCUUGGAAACUUAACGAACGAGCGCUUUGGUAAUUAACUCACACCAUUAAAAAGGUUUAACUUGAGCUCGUGUAAACGGUGCGUACCGGAGGCGGCACCGAAGAGCGAUCGCUGCGACAGACCUCGGGCUCUGAGACGGGAGCAAAGUCCCGAAUUCCUCUCCCAUCAGGGAGCCCAGCACAGUCAGCAAAGGUACAGGGAAGGUAAAAUUCAAACAUUUCGUUUUUCUGAGUAGCUCGCAGCCGAGGGGGAGGAAGCCCACCUCCAGCGGCGCGGAGCAGCAGCCAACCUAAUUGCCGGAUUCCAGGCACGGAGCCCAACGAGGGCAGCAGGGAAAGCCCACAAGUGCUGCCCGAGUCACCGUGCCCCGGUCACCGUCCCGAGACACCGACCGAGAUGGGAGAGCAGCUAUCAGCCGUUUCCUAGGCACUUCUCCCUAAAAAGCAAACUGGGCUUUAAGACCGAAACAUCACGCAGCGGUUUUAUACUGGGUUUGGCAGAAAUCGGCCCGAAAUAACAGAGAAGACCAAAGCGGGUGCUUCCCGGCCGCGCACUGCUCUGCUCGGAGGGGCAGAAAUCUCUUUUCCCGGCGCAAUCCCCGAGGUGAGGCGCUGGGGGUUGGAAGAUGCUCUCCCCGCAGGAAAUGGGCUCUGGGAACCCGCUCGGUUCCAGCAAGAAAGGCCCAAAAGAACCACAGCAAGGGAAGGAAGGGAUUGUGGCUGCGGCAGGGAGAAGCGCCUGGACAGCUCCAAAGGCGUUUUCCUCCGCAGGAACGCGGAGGGGUGAAAGCAGAGCUCCGGAGAGCUGCGGGAAUGCCGAGGUCCCGCCAUGGGAACGGGGAGAUUGGCACCAGCUCGCUCAAGGAAACCCUAAUAGGCUAUUUCUGGACUACUGGCUCUUAACAAAUCUAUAGCACCUGAAGUGUUAGCACUCAAUUAGUGACAAGGUUUUAAAACCCAGCGUUUACCGGCGAGGUAUAAACAGAGUCCUCGGGAGAUAGCCGGGAAUUAGGGCGGGAGGGGGCCCUGGACACCUUACCCGGCUGGCAGUUAGAGGAAAACUUUUCCAAAAGGCCCCUUUUCUCUCUCUCUAAACAGUCCGAGGUGUCGAAAGCUCGGGGGGAGGAGGUGCUCUGCGGAGCGUCUUGAGGCUUUUUUUGGUUUGUUUGUUUGCUUGUUUGUUCUCAGCUCUCUAAACAUAUACGUUAAACGAAUUUCAUUUAGCAGUCCUGGAGAGAAGCGAUGGAACGGUGUGGAAGUCAGCCCCAAUCUGAAAGGGGUUCGUGGGCACUGGGGUCAGAUCGGGGCUGUGCGGGCAUUGAGCCGCGGCACGUCGGGCUGAACCGCCUGCAUUGGUGCUCGGAGCCCGGAGUGAACAGGAGAAGGAGGCGGGGUGCCGAGCCCCGACCCGGAAAGUCCGUGAGUUGCAGCGUGUCAGUGACUUAUUCAUCAAUCAGCCGGACACAGAGCAGACCUGGCCUCUCUUUGCUCAGUGUUUGCUUUUUCACCAAUUAUUGCGGCCCUGCAGCUCUUUUUGUUGAUACAGUAGUUCUAAAAAGUGCUAAUGUUCAUUUAUCAGGGGACCGAGCCCGGGACUCCCACUAGUUGUGAUUCUUCCAAAAAUAUAAACACGCGGAGAAGGGCUAAGGCUAAAGCCCCCAUUUGUUUCUAAACUGCAGUAUUAAAAGUGAUGCAUUGUUAAAGAUAAAGCGGAGAUAACGCUGUCUGUCUCCAAUGAAUGUC